GAGUUUGAUCCUGGCUCAGAUUGAACGCUGGCGGCAUGCCUUACACAUGCAAGUCGAACGGCAGCACGGGAGCUUGCUCCUGGUGGCGAGUGGCGAACGGGUGAGUAAUGCAUCGGAACGUAUCCUGGAGUGGGGGAUAACGUAGCGAAAGUUACGCUAAUACCGCAUAUUCUGUGAGCAGGAAAGCGGGGGACCUUCGGGCCUCGCGCUCUUGGAGCGGCCGAUGUCGGAUUAGCUAGUUGGUGAGGUAAAGGCUCACCAAGGCGACGAUCCGUAGCAGGUCUGAGAGGAUGAUCUGCCACACUGGAACUGAGACACGGUCCAGACUCCUACGGGAGGCAGCAGUGGGGAAUUUUGGACAAUGGGGGCAACCCUGAUCCAGCCAUGCCGCGUGAGUGAAGAGGGCC
rnacentral:rRNA from 1 species